rnacentral:lncRNA from 1 species
GACCUGAGCCCUAGGACCAUGCCUCAGGACUACUUGACAUGAUGACUCCUUGCUGUCCCCAGUCCACCUGGCCGUGCUGCUGCUCCAGUUUCAACUGUUCUGCCUGUGGCUAUGGAACCCUGACCUGUUCACCGGACGUGCUACCUGUCCCAGACCUGCUGUUUUCAACUCUCUAGAGACAGCAGGAGCGGUAGACAUACUCUCAAUGAUCGGCUAUGAAAAGCCAACUGACAUUUACUCUUGAGGUGCUGACUUGUUGCACCCUCGACAACUGUGAUUAUUAUUAUUUGACCAUGCUGGUCAUUUAUGAACAUUUGAACAUCUUGGCCAUGUUCUGUUAUAAUCUCCACCCGGCACAGCCAGAAGAGGACUUGCCACCCCUCAUAGCCUGGUUCCUCUCUAGGUUUCUUCCUAGGUUUUGGCCUUUCUAGGGAGUUUUUCCUAGCCACCUUGCUUCUACACCUGCAUUGCUUGCUGUUUGGGGUUUUAGGCUGGGUUUCUGUACAGCACUUUGAGAUACCAGCUGAUGUAUGCUCUUGCAACAGAUGGAGACAAUCCAAGUGAUAGCAGCAGCGUUGAAAGGAGCCAUCUGUAACGGCUGUCUUCAGAAAUGAACCAAGGCGCAGCAGUGAGUUUGGCCAUGGGUGAAACAAGAUGGAGCCUGGAGUUACUACGCUUAUCUGCAGGCAAAAGUAUCUCUCUGCAUGUGUUUUUGUGUGUGAAUGGAAGGUUCAUGACCUCGAUUAAAACAUUCUGUACACUUGAUUAGUGGUCAUAGUUUCCAGUCGGCUGG